GAUCCUUGAACUCCAUUGCCAGUGGGGAAACAGGUGAAUACUUAGAGGUCCUUUGUGAGUCGGAUUGUGCUGAGUCUAACUAUACCGUACGCUUAUCUCCACGACCGUAUUUGUAUUUGCAGGUGGUCAAAGAUUGCACAGCAUUUACCUGGAAGAACCGAUAAUGAAAUCAAGAAUUAUUGGAGAACUAGAGUGCAAAAACAAGCCCGGCAGCUUACGGUGGAUGUGAAUAGCAAGAAAUUUCUUGAAGCAAUUCGCCAAGUUUGGGCACCAAGAUUGCUAGAAAAAAUGGAACAAAAUUCAUCAGAAACAUCGUCUCCCUCUUCCUCCAUCUCAAACUUGGAAACUCAAAAGCCCACAAUCACUACACCAUGUCCCAAAUCCAGGUCCCAGGUGAAUUAUUCUGAUCAGCUCAAGGAAAAUUUACAGCUGCCCGCAGAGAAUUCAGAAAAUUUGUACCAAGCUUGCGGCGACAUUAAUACUUUCUAUGAUAAUUCAUUUCAAAAUGAUGGUUACCAUGUGGACAUUAGCAGUUAUAACACUACAGAAAUGGAGUACCAGCAGGAGAAUUCGCUGGCAGAGAUAGAC
rnacentral:lncRNA from 1 species